AUUAGCCAUGCAUGUCUCAGUACAAGCCGCAUUAAGGCGAAACCGCGAAUGGCUCAUUAAAUCAGUUAUGGUUCCUUAGAUCUUACACUUUUUACAUGGAUAACUGUGGUAAUUCUAGAGCUAAUACAUGAAACUAGUACCCCGACUUUACGGAAGGGGUGCUUUUAUUAGAACAAAACCAAUCGGUCGGCUCGUCCGUCCGUUGCCUUGGUGACUCUGAAUAACUUUGGGCUGAUCGCACGGUCCUAGCACCGGCGACGCAUCUUUCAAAUGUCUGCCUUAUCAACUGUCGAUGGUAGGUUCUGCGCCUACCAUGGUUGUAACGGGUGACGGGGAAUCAGGGUUCGAUUCCGGAGAGGGAGCCUGAGAAACGGCUACCACAUCCAAGGAAGGCAGCAGGCGCGCAAAUUACCCACUCCCGGCACGGGGAGGUAGUGACGAAAAAUAACGAUACGGGACUCAUCCGAGGCCCCGUAAUCGGAAUGAGAACACUUUAAAUCCUUUAACGAGGAUCUAUUGGAGGGCAAGUCUGGUGCCAGCAGCCGCGGUAAUUCCAGCUCCAAUAGCGUAUAUUAAAGUUGUUGCGGUUAAAAAGCUCGUAGUCGGAGGUGUGUCUCGGACGGUCGGUUCGCCGCUUGUCGGUGCUCAACUGGCCGGUCCGGACGUCCUGCCGGUGGGGCUGUAAAAGGCUCCGUUAUCCUUCUUUGGUCCUCUUCAUUGAGUGCCUUGGUGGGCCGGCACGUUUACUUUGAACAAAUUAGAGUGCUCAAAGCAGGCCGUUGGUCGCCUGAAUACUGUGUGCAUGGAAUAAUAGAAUAGGACCUCGGUUCCAUUUUGUUGGUUUUCAGAACUCGAGGUAAUGAUUAAUAGGGACGGACGGGGGCAUUCGUAUUGCGACGUUAGAGGUGAAAUUCUUGGAUCGUCGCAAGACGAACCGAUGCGAAAGCAUUUGCCCAAGAACGUUUUCGUUGAUCAAGAACGAAAGUUAGAGGUU
rnacentral:rRNA from 1 species